rnacentral:lncRNA from 1 species
GAAUGGGUCAGUUGGAUAAGUAGAAAAAAUAAGUGUUUGUUUUUUUUUUAAAUUAGUAAUGACUAGCUUUUUGACCCAACCCUUUCUUAGAGCUUCCAGUUCCCUCUGCAUGAAAAGAAGUGGGGAGGACACUAGACUCCAUCAUGCCUAAAAUAUGUUCAGCUGUAACACUUAACCAUCUCCUCCAUUAUUGCUGGGCAUUCUUGAGUUAUAUCAUGUAUUUUAGUGAUAUCUGGAACUAAAUAGUAAUUACUUACUACCUUAGUUGGGUUUUUUUAGGAGCAGUGCAAGAAAUUUGUUUGAGAGGUGAUUCCCAGGGGAAAAAUCAUAGGUAAAUGUACUCUAGUUUAAGAAAACCAAUUAUUUGUAAAUGAAGGUUCUAACUUAUUUUAA